rnacentral:antisense_RNA from 1 species
CUUCAGCGAUCCCAGCCACAGUGGCCGGUCGGCGGGCCGUCCCCGGCCGUAGGUGGCCAGCAGCGCCUGCGCCUC